AGUCAUUAAGUGAGUAAGAGUUUAUUGUGGUGGGUUAUAAAAGGGUGGAGAGGAUUAUCAGAUUGAUAAGACUACCAUUUUUCAAUCUGACCUCUGCUUCUUCAUCUUGUAGACUAAAAAGCUUAGCUUUGUGCUUUUUCUUUUUUUUAGCUGAUCAUAAAUCAUGAGCGACCCAAAAUAUGCCUAUCCGUAUCCAGCUCAAGGUUAUUAUCAAGGUCCUCCAGUAGUGGCUCCUCCACAGUAUGCUGCUCCACCGCCCAGAAGAGAACCAGGAUUUCUUGAGGGAUGUCUAGCGGCCUUGUGUUGCUGUUGCCUUAUUGACGAGUGUUGCUGCGACCCCUCCGUCCUGUUUGUCAUCUAAUAAUUUCCUGUAAAUUCAUCCAUUUUUAUCGUAUUUUGAUAUUUAUAUUUAUACAUGGUUCUUGUGCCUUCUAGCUUUGUUAUUGUUGUUGAACCAUUUUUCCAUUUCAUAGUGUUUAUGUAUCAGACAUUUAUUCUCUA